rnacentral:rRNA from 1 species
AGGUAAGCUACUAAGAGCGAAUGGUGGAUGCCUUGACUGGUAAAGGCGAUGAAGGACGUACUAGACUGCGAUAAGCUACGGGGAGCUGUCAAGAAGCUUUGAUCCGUAGAUUUCCGAAUGGGGCAACCCAAUGUAUAGAGAUAUGCAUUACCUAUAUAGGAGCGAACGAGGGGAAUUGAAACAUCUUAGUACCCUCAGGAAAAGAAAUCAAUAGAGAUUGCGUCAGUAGCGGCGAGCGAAAGCGCAAGAGGGCAAACCCAGUGCUUGCACUGGGGGUUGUAGGACUGCAAUGUGCAAGAGGUAAGUUUAGCAGAACAUUCUGGAAAGUAUAACCAUAGAGGGUGAUAGUCCCGUAUGCGAAAAACAAACCUUAGCUAGCAGUAUCCUGAGUAGGGCGGGACACGAGGAAUCCUGUCUGAAUCCGGGUCGACCACGAUCCAACCCUAAAUACUAAUACCAGAUCGAUAGUGCACAAGUACCGUGAGGGAAAGGUGAAAAGAACUGAGGUGAUCAGAGUGAAAUAGAACCUGAAACCAUUUGCUUACAAUCAUUCAGAGCCCUAUGUAGCAAUACAGGGUGAUGGACUGCCUUUUGCAUAAUGAGCCUGCGAGUUGUGGUGUCUGGCAAGGUUAAGCAAACGCGAAGCCGUAGCGAAAGCGAGUCUGAAUAGGGCGCUUAGUCAGAUGCUGCAGACCCGAAACGAAGUGAUCUAUCCAUGAGCAAGUUGAAGCUAGUGUAAGAACUAGUGGAGGACUGAACCCAUAGGCGUUGAAAAGCCCCGGGAUGACUUGUGGAUAGGGGUGAAAGGCCAAUCAAACUUCGUGAUAGCUGGUUCUCUCCGAAAUAUAUUUAGGUAUAGCGUUGUGUCGUAAUAUAAGGGGGUAGAGCACUGAAUGGGCUAGGGCAUACACCAAUGUACCAAACCCUAUCAAACUCCGAAUACCUUAUAUGUAAUCACAGCAGUCAGGCGGCGAGUGAUAAAAUCCGUCGUCAAGAGGGAAACAACCCAGACUACCAGCUAAGGUCCCUAAAUCUUACUUAAGUGGAAAACGAUGUGAAGUUACUUAAACAACCAGGAGGUUGGCUUAGAAGCAGCCAUCCUUUAAAGAAAGCGUAAUAGCUCACUGGUCUAGUGAUUUUGCGCGGAAAAUAUAACGGGGCUAAAGUAAGUACCGAAGCUGUAGACUUAGUUUACUAAGUGGUAGGAGAGCGUUCUAUUUGCGUCGAAGGUAUACCGGUAAGGAGUGCUGGAGCGAAUAGAAGUGAGCAUGCAGGCAUGAGUAGCGAUAAUUAAUGUGAGAAUCAUUAACGCCGUAAACCCAAGGUUUCCUACGCGAUGCUCGUCAUCGUAGGGUUAGUCGGGUCCUAAGUCGAGUCCGAAAGGGGUAGACGAUGGCAAAUUGGUUAAUAUUCCAAUACCAACAUUAGUGUGCGAUGGAAGGACGCUUAGGGCUAAGGGGGCUAGCGGAUGGAAGUGCUAGUCUAAGGUCGUAGGAGGUUGUACAGGCAAAUCCGUAUAACAAUACUCCGAGAACUGAAAGGCUUUUUGAAGUCUUCGGAUGGAUAGAAGAACCCCUGAUGCCGUCGAGCCAAGAAAAGUUUCUAAGUUUAGCUAAUGUUGCCCGUACCGUAAACCGACACAGGUGGGUGGGAUGAGUAUUCUAAGGCGCGUGGAAGAACUCUCUUUAAGGAACUCUGCAAAAUAGCACCGUAUCUUCGGUAUAAGGUGUGGUUAGCUUUGUAUUAGGAUUUACUCCGAAAGCAAGGAAACUUACAACAAAGAGUCCCUCCCGACUGUUUACCAAAAACACAGCACUCUGCUAACUCGUAAGAGGAUGUAUAGGGUGUGACGCCUGCCCGGUGCUCGAAGGUUAAUUGAUGGGGUUAGCAUUAGCGAAGCUCUUGAUCGAAGCCCGAGUAAACGGCGGCCGUAACUAUAACGGUCCUAAGGUAGCGAAAUUCCUUGUCGGUUAAAUACCGACCUGCAUGAAUGGCGUAACGAGAUGGGAGCUGUCUCAAAGAGGGAUCCAGUGAAAUUGUAGUGGAGGUGAAAAUUC